UACGAAGGGGGCUAGCGUUGCUCGGAAUCACUGGGCGUAAAGCGCACGUAGGCGGCUUUUUAAGUCAGGGGUGAAAUCCUGGAGCUCAACUCCAGAACUGCCUUUGAUACUGAGAGCUUGAGUCCGGGAGAGGUGAGUGGAACUGCGAGUGUAGAGGUGAAAUUCGUAGAUAUUCGUAAGAACACCAGUGGCGAAGGCGGCUCACUGGCCCGGUACUGACGCUGAGGUGCGAAAGCGUGGGGAGCAAACAGGG
rnacentral:rRNA from 1 species